AACGGAUGCCUUAGUACGGCGAGUGAAGCGGCAAAAGCUCAAAUUUGAAAUCUGGUACCUUCGGUGCCCGAGUUGUAAUUUGGAGAGGGCAACUUUGGGGCCGUUCCUUGUCUAUGUUCCUUGGAACAGGACGUCAUAGAGGGUGAGAAUCCCGUGUGGCGAGGAGUGCGGUUCUUUGUAAAGUGCCUUCGAAGAGUCGAGUUGUUUGGGAAUGCAGCUCUAAGUGGGUGGUAAAUUCCAUCUAAAGCUAAAUAUUGGCGAGAGACCGAUAGCGAACAAGUACAGUGAUGGAAAGAUGAAAAGAACUUUGAAAAGAGAGUGAAAAAGUACGUGAAAUUGUUGAAAGGGAAGGGCAUUUGAUCAGACAUGGUGUUUUGUGCCCUCUGCUCCUUGUGGGUAGGGGAAUCUCGCAUUUCACUGGGCCAGCAUCAGUUUUGGUGGCAGGAUAAAUCCAUAGGAAUGUAGCUUGCCUCGGUAAGUAUUAUAGCCUGUGGGAAUACUGCCAGCUGGGACUGAGGACUGCGACGUAAGUCAAGGAUGCUGGCAUAAUGGUUAUAUGCCGCCCGUCUGAAA
rnacentral:rRNA from 1 species